CUUUUCCGUCCUUUGCCGCGCACUUUGUCAAGUUGUUCCCUGCGAGAAGUUCCCACGCUCUCCUUCAGGUCUUCAUGCAGGCCUGCCGGACCUCUCCGUUGUCGUCAUAGUCCUUGGCCGUGGGAAUCACAAUGUUGACUCGUCCAAGCCAAGGAAGGGACUGUUCCCUGUCUACCAAUCAACGCACUGCACUCUGCCUAGCUCCGCCCCUUUAGUCAUGGCCUUACUGUGACUGAAACAAACACACCUGGUGCACGGCUUGCAAAGAGACCCACCACAUUCAGCAGAUGGCGCUGUGGAGAAAAGAGUACUACUACACUGUAGGUGACAGGAUGGGAGUUGGACAAUAUCAGAUAGCAUAUGUGGACAAAUGAGGUAGGGCCUAGCACAGGUGUUCUAAAAAUAUUAUUAAAAACACAAAAGUGGAAUAAAAGAGCAAACAGGUGAAAUGUAACGAGAAAAAGUUGCCACUUUGACUCUAAUAACACAAAGCUGCCAUGCAGGCUGUUUUUUUUCUCUAAAACCGUAAUUGAUGAAAAAAUAAUAAUGAAACAAACUCAAUGUUGUGAAUUGUGAACUUAUUGAAGGCUGUGUGUUUGGCAUGAAAAAGUUUGAUGACAAAAAGGACAUAAAAAAACAAAACUAUAAAUAACCAGUGUUGGGUUAGUUACUGAAAAGCAGUAACUAGUUACAGUUACUAGUUACUUCAUUUCAAAAGUAACUCAGUUACUAACUCAGUUACUUACACCAAAAAGUAAUGCGUUACUGUGAAAAGUAACUAUUUAGUUACUUCUUUUUUCUUUUUUUUUUAAAGCUCCAAUUAAUGCCCUUUUAGCCUUCAUUUCAGUACUGUUAUUGCACUGGAGAAUAAUACAAUCUGUUGAUCAACUUGACAUGCAUUUGCAUCACUGAACUCUGCUAAGCCAUGUGGUCUACAUACAACACACAAAGACAAAGAUAUGUUACAAAGGCCAAUUUGUUUCUGGCCAGAACAAAUUGACAAAACUAUUUUAAAUAGCUGCAACAUAACAUACAUAAGUAACAAACAGCAUAAUAACAGCAUAGAUGUAAACCAAGAAAGGCACACACUACAUACACAAAGUCUAACCAGGCAUUUUCUUCCUCAAGUAAUUCUUAUACAAAAUCAUGUCUGAAACCCAGAACACUACACAUUUCCCCAGUUUUAGUCUAGAGAUAAGGAAAGAUUGGCCUGGCCCACUAGGAUCCCUCUUUAUGUUUG